CUUUAUUGGAGAGUUUGAUCCUGGCUCAGGACGAACGCUGGCGGCAUGCCUAAUACAUGCAAGUCGAGCGGACUAUCAGAAAAGCUUGCUUCUCUGAUAGUUAGCGGCGGACGGGUGAGUAACACGUAGGCAACCUGCCCUCAAGUUUGGGACAACUACCGGAAACGGUAGCUAAUACCGAAUAAUUGUUUUCUUCGCCUGAAGGAAACUGGAAAGACGGAGCAAUCUGUCACUUGGGGAUGGGCCUGCGGCGCAUUAGCUAGUUGGUGAGGUAACGGCUCACCAAGGCGAC
rnacentral:rRNA from 1 species